ensembl:snRNA U2 U2 spliceosomal RNA
AUCGCUUCUCAGCCUUUUGGCUAAGAUCAAGUGAUGUAUAGUAGAUAUAUUAGUUUCAGGUAUAGAACAUUGUGAUUUGAUACUUACAUAUAAGACAAAACGCUCUUUCCCUAUUCUUUUUUUUUUUGAUGUUUUUAUUUUUGAGAGACAGAGACAGUGCGAGCAAGGGAGAGUCAGAGAGAGAGGGAGAUACAGA